CCAAGACUUCACAGAAGGGACCCUCAUACUGGGGGCGGGGGGACUUUAACAUAGCACUUGACCCUACAUGGGACAACUCAUCGGGCGCCUCCCACGUUCCAACACAACAACUCCAGAACAUUAAAUCCCUACUCCGCAACCGACGCCUUGUCGAUUGCUGGAGAGUCCACCACCUGGACAUAAGAGACUUCACCUUCUACUCCCACCGCACAACUCUUACUCCCGAAUAGACCACAUAUACACUACACACUACGACCUCUCUCUAGUGUCCGAAGUAACAAUCGGAGUGGCCAC